UACAGAGGUCUCAAGCGUUGUUCGGAUUCAUUGGGCGUAAAGGGUGCGUAGGUGGCGCUGUAAGUCGGGUGUGAAAUUUCGGAGCUUAACUCCGAAACUGCAUUCGAUACUGCGGUGCUUGAGGACUGGAGAGGAGACUGGAAUUCAUGGUGUAGCAGUGAAAUGCGUAGAGAUCAUGAGGAAGACCAGUGGCGAAGGCGGGUCUCUGGACAGUUCCUGACACUGAGGCACGAAGGCCAGGGGGGCAAACGGG
rnacentral:rRNA from 1 species